rnacentral:rRNA from 1 species
UACGUAGGGGGCAAGCGUUGUCCGGAUUUAUUGGACGUAAAGAGCGUGUAGGCGGCUUUACAGGUCCGUUGUGAAAACUCGAGGCUCAACCUCGAGAGGUCGGUGGAAACCGUCUGGCUAGAGUCCGGAAGAGGAGAGUGGAAUUCCCGGUGUAGCGGUGAAAUGCGCAGAUAUCGGGAAGAACACCCGUGGCGAAGGCGGCUCUCGUGGGACGGUACUGACGCUGAGACGCGAAAGCGUGGG